rnacentral:rRNA from 1 species
GGACGGGUGAGUAAUGUCUGGGGAACUGCCUGAUGGAGGGGGAUAACUACUGGAAACGGUAGCUAAUACCGCAUAACGUCGCAAGACCAAAGAGGGGGACCUUCGGGCCUCUUGCCAUCGGAUGUGCCCAGAUGGGAUUAGCUAGUAGGUGGGGUAAAGGCUCACCUAGGCGACGAUCCCUAGCUGGUCUGAGAGGAUGACCAGCCACACUGGAACUGAGACACGGUCCAG